rnacentral:rRNA from 1 species
AGAAAGCCCCGGCUAACUACGUGCCAGCAGCCGCGGUUACAUGUAGGGGGCAAGCGUUGUCCGGAAUGAUUGGGCGUAAAGGGCGCGCAGGCGGCCUCUUAAGUCUGAUGUGAAAGCCCACGGCUCAACCGUGGAGGGACAUUGGAAACUGGGGGGCUUGAGUGCAGGAGAGGGGAGUGGAAUUCCACGUGUAGCGGUGAAAUGCGUAGAGAUGUGGAGGAACACCAGUGGCGAAGGCGGCUCUCUGGCCUGUGACUGACGCUGAGGCGCGAAAGCGUGGGGAGCGAACAAAAUUAGAUACCCUGGUAGUCCACGCCGUAAACGAUGAGUGUUAGGUGGUUAGGGGGGAACACCCCCUCAGUGCGAAAGUCAACACAUUAAGCACUCCGCCUGGGGAGUACGGCCGCAAGGAUGAAACUCAAAGGAAUUGACGGGGGCCCGCACAAGCAGUGGAGCAUGUGGUUUAAUUCGAAGCAACGCGAAGAACCUUACCAGGUCUUGACAUCCCUCUGACGGGUUCAGAGAUGGACCGUUCCUUCGGGACAGAGGAGACAGGUGGUGCAUGGUUGUCGUCAGCUCGUGUCGUGAGAUGUUGGGUUAAGUCCCGCAACGAGCGCAACCCUUGACCUUUGUUGCCAGCAUUAAGUUGGGCACUCAGAGGUGACUGCCGGUGACAAACCGGAGGAAGGUGGGGAUGACGUCAAAUCAUCAUGCCCCUGAUGACCUGGGCGACACACGUGCUACAAUGGGCGGUACAGAGGGCAGCGAAGCCGCGAGGCGGAGCGAAUCCCAGAAGGCCGCUCUCAGUUCGGAUUGCAGGCUGCAACUCGCCUGCAUGAAGGAGGAAUUGCUAGUAAUCGCGGAUCAGCAUGCCGCGGUGAAUCAGUUCCCGGGCCUUGUACACACCGCCCGUC